GAUGAACGCUGGCGGCGUGCCUAAUACAUGCAAGUCGAGCGAACAGAUAAGGAGCUUGCUCCUUUGACGUUAGCGGCGGACGGGUGAGUAACACGUGGGUAACCUACCUAUAAGACUGGGAUAACUUCGGGACACCGGAGCUAAUACCGGAUAAUAUUUCGAACCGCAUGGUUCGAUAGUGAAAGAUGGUUUUGCUAUCACUUAUAGAUGGACCCGCGCCGUAUUAGCUAGUUGGUAAGGUAACGGCUUAUCAAGGCGACGAUACGUAGACGACCUGAGAGGGGGAUAGGCCACACGGGAGCUGGGACACGGUCCAGGCUCCUGCGGGAGGCAGCAGUAGGGAAUCUUCCGCAGUGGGCGAGAGCCUGACGGAGCAACGCCGCGUGAGUGAUGAAGGUCUUCGGAUCGUAAAACUCUGUUAUUGGGGAAGAACAUACGUGUAAGUAACUGUGCACGUCUUGACGGUACCUAGUCAGAAAGCCACGGCUAACUACGUG
rnacentral:rRNA from 1 species